rnacentral:rRNA from 1 species
GACGAACGCUGGCGGCGUGCUUAACACAUGCAAGUCGAACGGAAAGGCCCUGCUUUUGUGGGGUGCUCGAUUGGCGAACGGGUGAGUAACACGUGAGUAACCUGCCCUUGACUUUGGGAUAACUUCAGGAAACUGGGGCUAAUAUCGGAUAGGAUCUCCUGCUGCAUGGUGGGGGUUGGAAAUUUUCGGCGGUUGGGGAUGGACUCGCGGCUUAUCAGCUUGUUGGUGGGGUAGUGGCUUACCAAGGCUUUGACGGGUAGCCGGCCUGAGAGGGUGACCGGCCACAUUGGGACUGAGAUACGGCCCAGACUCCUACGGGAGGCAGCAGUGGGGAAUAUUGCACAAUGGGCGGAAGCCUGAUACAGCAACGCCGCGUGCGGGAUGACGGCCUUCGGGUUGUAAACCGCUUUCGCCUGUGACGAAGCGUGAGUGACGGUAAUGGGUAAAGAAGCACCGGCUAACUACGUG